GCCAGGGUGGUGUAGUGGCUUGAGCGUUGGACUUACGACCCUGAAGAUCAGGGUUCAAAUCCCUGCCCCACCA